GGGUCAGUAGGUUGGUCGUGCCACCGGUACGUACUGGUCUCACUGAUUCCUCCUUCCUGAAGAACCGUAAUGCCAUUAAUUUGGUGUUGCGGGGAAACAGGACUGUUACUUUGAAAAAAUUAGAGUGUUUAAAGCAAGCUAACGCUUGAAUACAUUGGCAUGUAAUAAUGAAAUAGGACGAUCGAUCCUAUUUUGUUGGUUUCUAGGAUUGACGUA
rnacentral:rRNA from 1 species